GAUGAACGCUGGCGGCGUGCCUAAUACAUGCAAGUCGAGCGAACGGACGAGAAGCUUGCUUCUCUGAUGUUAGCGGCGGACGGGUGAGUAACACGUGGAUAACCUACCUAUAAGACUGGGAUAACUUCGGGAAACCGUAGCUAAUACCGGAUAAUAUUUUGAACCGCAUGGUUCAAAAGUGAAAGACGGUCUUGCUGUCACUUAUAGAUGGAUCCGCGCUGCAUUAGCUAGUUGGUAAGGUAACGGCUUACCAAGGCAACGAUGCAUAGCCGACCUGAGAGGGUGAUCGGCCACACUGGAACUGAGACACGGUCCUGACUCCUACGGGAGGCAGCAGUAGGGAAUCUUCCGCGAUGGGCGAAAGCCUGACGGAGCAACGCCGCGUGAGUGAUGAAGGUCUUCGGAUCGUAAAACUCUGUUAUUAGGGAAGAACAUAUGUGUAAGUAACUGUGCACAUCUUGACGGUACCUAAUCAGAAAGCCACGGCUAACUACGUG
rnacentral:rRNA from 1 species